rnacentral:rRNA from 1 species
UACGAAGGGGGCUAGCGUUGCUCGAAAUCACUGGGCGUAAAGGGCGUGUAGGUGGUUACGUAAGUCUGGCGUGAAAUUUCUCGGCUUAACCGAGGCAGGUCGUCGGAUACUGCGAGACUAGAGGACGGUAGAGGCGUGUGGAAUUCCGGGUGUAGUGGUGAAAUGCGUAGAGAUCCGGAAGAACACCAGAGGCGAAGGCGGCGACCUGGACAGUGACCGACACUCAACUGCGAAAGCGUGGGGAGCAAACAGG